GCUUCUGCAUUGUGUGAGGAGCAGGCACUGUGGUGGAUUCUUUACUGCUGAACCGGGCUAGGAUAGUGACCUCAUUUCACCAACAAGGGACCCGGCAGCCAAAGAAGCUCACUGACCAGGACAAGGCUCUGUCUUGGGGCCUAGCUGGCUUGGGACUCAAGGCAUUUGAGUUUAAUUCCAGUGACCUUUCACCGUGUCCCUGCAGCCCUUUGUGAAGACCCAUUCAAGAAAGCGGGACAAGGACAGAGGUGGAUUGGUGGACCAUGUGACAUGCUCGGGGACUCAUGUGCCAGUGGUCUCUGAGCAUCUUUGAGUUCUUUUAAGGAGAAAAAGUCUGGCUUAGACUUUGUGAGUCAGACAACAGCCUGGGUUGGAAUCCCAGUGCUGCCACACACUGACCUGGACACACUGUUGCGUAUCUCUGAGCCCCUGUGUUUCCAUCUGUAAAGCUGGCCUGAUGUCUGCCCAGCAGGAUUGUUGUCAGGGUCAAAUUGGCACCAAGUAGGUGUGUUUUCUUCAAGAGGCGGCUUUGCUGAUUGUUAUCACACCUGUGCUGUCUGUGUGUGUCUUUUUUCCAGUCACGUAUUGAUACUCAUUGGU
rnacentral:lncRNA from 1 species